AUUGAACGCUGGCGGCAUGCUUUACACAUGCAAGUCGAACGGCAGCACGGGCUUCGGCCUGGUGGCGAGUGGCGAACGGGUGAGUAAUAUAUCGGAACGUACCCAGAAGUGGGGGAUAACGUAGCGAAAGUUACGCUAAUACCGCAUACGAUCUAUGGAUGAAAGCAGGGGACCGCAAGGCCUUGUGCUCCUGGAGCGGCCGAUAUCUGAUUAGCUAGUUGGUAAGGUAAAGGCUCACCAAGGCGACGAUCAGUAGCUGGUCUGAGAGGACGACCAGCCACACUGGAACUGAGACACGGUCCAGACUCCUACGGGGGGCAGCAGUGGGGAAUUUUGGACAAUGGGCGCAAGCCUGAUCCAGCAAUGCCGCGUGAGUGAAGAAGGCCUUCGGGUUGUAAAGCUCUUUUGUCAGGGAAGAAACGGUAGAGGCUAAUAUCCUUUGCUAAUGACGGUACCUGAAGAAUAAGCACCGGCUAACUACGUG
rnacentral:rRNA from 1 species